CUCUUAUCAAGAGGUGGUGGAGGGAUCCAAACCCUGUGAAGCCAGAGCAACCUCCUUUUCAAGAAAGGUGCUAAAGAAUGCAGAGUAAUUCUGACCGAUAAGAG
rnacentral:ncRNA from 2 species